CCCUUAGAUGUUCUGGGCCGCACGCGCGCUACACUGAUGCAUUCAACGAGCCUAUCCUUGACCGACAGGUCCGGGUAAUCUUUGAAUCUGCAUCGUGACGGGGAUAGAUUAUUGCAAUUAUUAAUCUUCAACGAGGAAUGCCUAGUAGGCGCAAGUCAUCAGCUUGCGUCGAUUACGUCCCUGCCCUUUGUACACACCGCCCGUCGCUCCUACCGAUUGGGUGUGCUGGUGAAAUGUUCGGAUCGGCCGUUUGUCGCGGUUUCCGCGUCAUGUGGCGGAGAAGUUCAUUAAACCCUCCCACCUAGAGGAAGGAGAAGUCGUAACA
rnacentral:rRNA from 1 species